CGAUGUAGACUCAAAUUAGGAUAAUUGGCUCUUAAGGCAUUUCACUGUAUUGAUAAUUUAUUUCACAUUCUGUCACUACUCCCAACCUGUCUCAUGUAUAUAUGUGUUAGAUUAGAUUUAUGUUUAGAAUAGCUAUAAAGUUUGUCUGUAUUCAAAGAUGAUUUGACUGUGGUAUCUUAUGAUAAAAUAAUCUCGUCACUGUUUCUAAAAGAUUUCGCUUCAACGCUGUACCUGAAUAUGUGUGAUAUUAUUCUCAUUAAGCCAUGAGAAUAAUAUUACUCCAAUAAGUGAAUUAAUCAAAAUUCCCUUAAUAAAGCUAAUUCCUUACAAUAGAAAGUGUGAGCGGAUAAAACCAGACUUAUUAUUUGAAAUCGAUAUAUUAUGGUUUCAAUGGUGGAGAAUCUUAUUCAGAGAAAUAAUCUAGUUAUUUGUAAUUUAUCUAAUUUAUAAUGGUUGUCAAACGUGACUAAUUCCUUUAUAUAUUUCAAUACAUAAUAAUGUAGAAUAAAGACAGUUUUAUUUAGUUCAUAGCUCACAUAUUUCAAGACCCUAAAUUCCCUCCUAAAUUUAGCAUGCACGCAAAUUACCCUACAUAUAAUAAUGGUAAAAUGCAUACAAAAUACGCAUUUUAACGGAUUGAGUCCACAUCUCUAAAUUAUAUAUGUAAUAAUCUUACAAUAUUGUAUAAGCAUGUCUCUCAAGGUUUAAUUUGUUAAUAGUUUUAAUUCAUUUUGUCAACAUUAAACUGACAUUUUUAACUGUUGAAUAUUGACUUGUACUCUUAAAGUGAUAAUAAUAAUAAUAAAAACAGAGGUAAGCAGUGAGAUUAGGUGAGAUUUUUUUUGUAAAAUUUCAGAUGUUUUAGUAUUACAAAUUGUAUUUCCCCCAAAACGUGUUAACUUCUACAUCUAGCACUUGAACUCAACAAACUAUAACAUUCAUAUUGUUUAUCAGGCUGGUUUCAAAGGGGGGUCUGCAAUCAUGAGCUUGGCCUACCUUGGCAACCACCCCUCUGCCCACACCUCCAACUGUUUGACCCACCCAGAGGGUUCUAUGGCCCACCUUAAAUCUUAGAGCUAGAGCCGGGCCUGUUGCUUAUGGCUAAACAUAUAAUAAUUAUUAUAACUCUUAUACUACGGCCAAAGAUACACAAGGUUAUUUCUCAAUCAUGGCCAUUUAUGAGGGGAAAAAAAUGUGUUAUUUUGGUUAUUUCACCUUAUGUACCUGUCUUGUUGCUAAAGUUAAUAAUAAAUUGUGUCUUUCUCUCUCUACAGUUAUUGCUUGAUCUAUGUGUUGGCAUUUUUCAUUCCUAAAGUGACUAUAGGCGACAUGGUCACAGUUAAACAGUCCACUGGAGACUAUGCUGUCUUGCCAUGUUCUUACACUGGAGAUAAAAGAGAAGUUCACACAGUGCAUUGGAUAUACAAUGAAAAGCCUGUUUAUGAGUUUAGUCCCGGCAGUAAUUCAGAUGAUGUAAAGCACAACACUAGAGCUGAAUCUUUUCCUGAUGAGUAUGUAAG